UACUAAGGGGGCUAGCGUUGUUCGGAAUUACUGGGCGUAAAGCGCGUGUAGGCGGGUCCUUAAGUCAGGGGUGAAAUGCCAAGGCUCAACCUUGGAACUGCCUUUGAUACUGGGGAUCUUGAGUCCGGGAGAAGUGAGUGGAACUGCGAGUGUAGAGGUGAAAUUCGUAGAUAUUCGCAAGAACACCAGUGGCGAAGGCGGCUCACUGGCCCGGAACUGACGCUGAGACGCGAAAGCGUGGGGAGCAAACAGG
rnacentral:rRNA from 1 species